rnacentral:tRNA from 2 species
GCAGACGUAGCUCAAUCGGCAGAGCACCGCGCCCGGAGGUAUGUGCUGGUUCAAGUCCAGCCGUCUGCA